rnacentral:rRNA from 1 species
GACGAACGCUGGCGGCGUGCUUAACACAUGCAAGUCGAACGGAAAGGCCCAGCUUGCUGGGUACUCGAGUGGCGAACGGGUGAGUAACACGUGGGUGAUCUGCCCUGCACUCUGGGAUAAGCCUGGGAAACUGGGUCUAAUACCGGAUAUGACCAACUGUCGCAUGGUGGUUGGUGGAAAGCUUUUGCGGUGUGGGAUGGGCCCGCGGCCUAUCAGCUUGUUGGUGGGGUAAUGGCCUACCAAGGCGACGACGGGUAGCCGACCUGAGAGGGUGAUCGGCCACACUGGGACUGAGACACGGCCCAGACUCCCACGGGAGGCAGCAGUGGGGAAUAUUGCACAAUGGGCGCAAGCCUGAUGCAGCGACGCCGCGUGAGGGAUGACGGCCUUCGGGUUGUAAACCUCUUUCACCAGGGACGAAGCGUGAGUGACGGUACCUGGAGAAGUAGCACCGGCCAACUACGUG